AUUGAACGCUGGCGGCAUGCCUUACACAUGCAAGUCGAACGGCAGCACGGGGCAACCUGGUGGCGAGUGGCGAACGGGUGGGUAAUGCAUCGGAACGUACCUUUCAGUGGGGGAUAACGUAGCGAAAGUUACGCUAAUACCGCAUAUUCUGUGAGCAGGAAAGCAGGGGAUCGGAAGACCUUGCGCUGAUUGAGCGGCCGAUGUCAGAUUAGCUAGUUGGUGAGGUAAAGGCUCACCAAGGCGACGAUCUGUAGCGGGUCUGAGAGGAUGAGCCGCCACACUGGAACUGAGACACGGUCCAGACUCCUACGGGAGGCAGCAGUGGGGAAUUUUGGACAAUGGGGGCAACCCUGAUCCAGCCAUGCCGCGUGAGUGAAGAAGGCCUUCGGGUUGUAAAGCUCUUUCGGCCGGGAAGAAAUCGCACGGGCUAAUACCCUGUGUGGAUGACGGUACCGGAAUAAGAAGCACCGGCUAACUACGUGCCAGCAGCCGCCGUAACAC
rnacentral:rRNA from 1 species